CGCGGUUGAAUUUUUCUGAAGAGAACUUCUAUAAUUAUUUAUUCCAAAUAUUUUUGUACUUCCAUUAGUCUAAAUUCGAAUAAUAAAUAGUAAUUCUUAUUCCAAAUAAGAAUCUAGUAUUAUGAACUAAAUAAUUUGGUAUACCUUCGAAAGAGAUCGAAAUAUAUAUUGUUGUUUAUGGCUUUCUUCAAUUGUAUUUUAGAAGUUUAUAAAUGUUAUGUAAAAUUGAGAAUAAAACUAUUUUAGACUGUUUAACUGAAUUUAAAUGUUGUAAACAAUUGGCUUAUAAAAUAAAAUAAAAUAUACAUUUUUCAGAACCUAGUAUAGAAUUUAUAAAAUAACUAACACCAAUAUUAAUAGUUAUCACCAGUCGCGGGUUGGGCUGAUUCAAAAUAUGACACAAUUAUUUAAGAUAAUAUAUACUAUAAAAUUCACAAUGGUGGAGGUCUUUUCAAAUAUGGUCUCAUUAAAGUUUUAUAAUAAUAAAUAAUAUGUAAAAUUUGUAUAAUUAAAAAAAUCAUUGUAUUUUUCACAACGAAGUCCAUCUCUAAUUAUUCUUAAAAAUUCGGGAUUUUUUAUAUUGUUUUAUAAUCUUACAUAUAAAACACAUUUACAUAAUAUGAUACAUAUUCUUAAAGACAUCAAAUAAUCUUUAAAAAACAUGAUGAAAGGGAAAGUUUAGAUUAUUUAGUAUAUAAUCCAUGACAAUAAUGAUUUUUAUUUGAAUAUAAACAGAAAGUUUUGGUAAACUAAUACUAUACCAUAUUUACACCAUUAUUAACUGCAGAAUUUUUAUUUGUAAAAUAACUAAAAAGACAUGAUUUGGUGUUUAUACGUCUUAUAGGAAGCAAUAUAUUAUGGAUAGUGACAAGGUUAUUGAUGAGAAAUGUUUGUCUUAUUGAUUUUGAAAAUGAGUUGAGCAAUAAUACAAAACUAGACUUUGAUCCGCGCGCCCGCGCGGGUGUAUUUUUCAAAAAUAUGUUACUGUUUGUUUUUCAUGUCACUAUUAGGAUUGUGCAAAAAACCUGAAUCCAAAAAACCGAUCCGAUCCCGAUCUAAAAAAGUAGUAUCAAAUCUGAACCGAAAUUGAUUAAAUAUCUGAAUUAUUCAAAAUUUUAGUAUUUAGAGAACUGAAACCGAAUCUGAUCCAAACUAAAAUAUUUCGGGUAUCCGAAUAUAUCCGAAAUAGAUUUAUAUACUUAUAUAUAUUAAUUGUUUAUAGAUUUAAUGUAUAUAAAAACAUCCAGAAUAUAAAAGAUACUUUUAAGUUGGUUUAAAUACUUGAAAAUAUAUACAAAUUGUCAAAAGUAAACAUCUAAAAUCGUUAAAGUAUACUCAAAAUACUAAAAAUACUUAAAAUAAUAAUUAAUUCUCUAUCUAAAUAUUUAAACCAAACCAAUUUAUAUGUUAAGUUUAGGUAUCCUGACAAGUGUUAUUCAAAUUUAUAUGUAAUAUAUUAUUUUAUUUAUAGAUUUUGAGAAAUUUAAAGUAUAUAAUGAAUUUUAAAAUUUUAAAAAUCAUUUAAAUGAGUUAUCUGAAUCUGAACCUAAUCUGCAAUGAUUCAAACCGAACCCGAAUCAAAAUUUAGAAAUAUCCAAAUGGGACUAAAGUCUUUGACCCCAAAAAUCUGAAAUCCAAAGAGACCCGACCGAACCGAAUGAGUAUCGUAACACCCAUCCCUAGUCACUAUUAUAUAUCAUAUAUGUAUCCUCAUAUAAUUAAUCGUAUUUUAUACAUAUCAUCAUAUAAGUAAUCAUAUAAUUAAUAAUAUUUUAAAUAUAUCAUCACAUAAAUAAUCAUAUAAAUUAUACUUUUAAAACUUAAUGUGAAAUAUAAAAACCAUUACUUAAGAUGGUGUUUGAAAUUGAGCUUUGUAUUAUAUUUUUCUUAUAUAUAUUGAAAACAUUUUUUUGAUAAUGGUUGUUGGAAAACAUUUUAGUAAAAAUCAAUUUUUGAAUAUAUGUAUAUUUUUGAAUCAAUUUUUGAUUUAAAAUAUGUAUAUAAAAUUUAUUUUAGAAAAAAGAUGUUUUAGGUUAUUAGAUUAGACCAUUUUCGUAUAUUUUAAAGAUAGUCUAAAUAUAUAGUUUCUCGUAAUAUAAUAGAAUUCACAUAAGCCCAUUAAUACUUUUUUUUAAUAUACUGCUAUUCCAAACAAUAUUAUAUAUAUUUUUAAAAAUGUUAUUUAUGCUUCUAAAUAAUUUUCAAAAGUACUUAUAUUUUAAUAAGAUAAAUAUUAUUUUAUUUGUUCGUGCAGAUUAUUGUAAAUAAUUAUGAGGGCAUCCGACAAGUUUUAAGGAAAUCAUGAGAUAAGAGAGCCAAAAAAUAUCUACCUUGGAGAACAAAAAACGUGAGAAGAAAGUUUAGGAUGAAAUAAUUAGGUAAUAUUCUGUUGCUAAGAUCUGUUGCUAAGAUUGCACGAGAGAUUCUUGCUAUUAACCUUGCGAUUUUUACAUAGACAUGUUAGUUAGCUAAUUAUUGUGUCCAUAUCUAGAAUUUCUAUUUUAUGAGCGUGUUUUUCAAAAUUGUAUGGUUAACUAAACCAGUUGGUUUAGGAGACAAACGGGCCAAGAACCAAAAUUGUAAUUCCAUUCAUUUCGAUUUGGUUCAUGCUUUAUUCAUGUUUCCAAACAAUUUGAUUUAAAUUGCUAUACUUGUUUCCAAACAACUCUAAUGUGUACUUCAGUUUUAAUAAUAUAGAUAUAUUACUGACACUGUUGUCGUGUUGUAUCUUGGCAAAUGGUAGUUUAGGCUACUAUUUGUUUAAAUGAUUUUCACGUAAAACGUGUCUUUUUGGUAACCAAUAUAUAAUAUAAUGGUCGUCUCGGUGCAAGUUCUAAUUAGAUACAUAAUUUGAAAAUCUUAUGUCAUAUUAUAUUCUAUAUUAUAAUAUUACAUACAAUAUUUUGACUAUUAUAUAUAUAUUUGUUAAGGAAAUCUAUGUUUUUCCUAAUAUAUAUAUAUAUAUAUAUAUAUAUAUAUAUUCUUAAGUAAAUCUAUAUUUGUCGUAGAACUAAGAAUAUGUUUUUAUUUUUUUAUGAAUCUAUAAAAUAUUUUUUGAGAAAAUAAGAACUGUUAUACAAACUAUUACUUAUUAUAUUAUUUCACUUCUGUAAAUGUAUGCAUGAAUUUAAUUAUAUCUAUAUAUUACCCAUUAAGAAUUGAAGAAUAUAUUUUUUAACUAUAUGAAAUUAGUAAAUAAAAAUGUAGUUGCUAAUUUCUUGCUAAUUACUUUGGGGAAAACCCCAGAAAGAAAACCAAGGGAGGCUUAUGUUUUCAAAUAACGACCAUGGAAGAGGACGAAAUGGAAGAGGCAACGAUCGAGGUCGGUUAACAAUCAGAACCAUGUGUCACACACCAAAGAAGGAUCGUUCAAAGGUGAUAUGUUGGAGAUGUGACAAGCCAGCUCACUUUACAAAAUUCUUUCCCAAGAAACCGAUAACAAUCAAGAAGCCAACCAAAACGAGACACAAGAGGCCGACGCCCUCUAUGUACAUGAGUUGGUGUUCUUGAAUGAAGACAAAGUGAUUCCGAAGAAUCUUGAUAUCGACAAAGGCAAUGCAAUUGUUUGGUAUUUAAAUAAUAGAGCGAGCAAUCACAUAACAGGAAACAAGGAGCUCUUUUCGAGUUUGGAUCAAAACACCAAAGGGAAGGUGAAGUUUGGUGAUGGUUCAUGUAUUGAUAUUGUAGGAAAUGGUGUGGUUACUAUUGUGUGCAAUACCGGAGAGAAGAAGGCACUCAAAGACAUAUAUUACAUACCGACCUCAAGCAUAACAUAUUGUAUCUUGGACAAGCGACAGAAAACGGAUAUGAGUGAAAGACAUCUCUUUAACAGUCACAUAUUCAUGUCGAAGAGUGCUAGUAUGAGUUACAAGAUCUUCAAACCGUAUCUACAAGAUCCCAAUGGAGAUUAGCUACAUGAAGUGUUUACUUGUCAGAGAUGAAGAUGCUACAUAGAGGUGGUAUGCUCAACUAGGACAUAUAAGCUAUGGAGUUAUGAACACCAUGGUAAAGGGAAAACACAUUUACAUUAUAUGAUACAUAUUUUUAUAUACAUCAAAUAAUCUUAAAAAAAACAUGAUGAAAGGGAUAGUUUAGAUUAUUUAAUAUAUAAACCAUGCCAAUAAUGAUUUUUAUUUAAAUAUAAACAGAAUGUUUUGGUAAACUAAUACUAUACAAUAUUUACACUAUUAUUAAUUACAUAAUUUUUAUUGUAAAAUAACUAAAAAGACAUAAUUUGAUGUUUAUAUGUUUUAUAGGAAACAAUAUAUUAUUGAUAUUGACAAGGUUAUUGAUGAGAAAUGUUUGUCUUAUUGAUUUUGAAGAUGAGUUGGCCAAUAAUGCAAAAUAUAUCACUGACACUGAUGUCGUGUUGUAUCUUGGCAAAUGGUAGUUUAGACUACUAUAUGUUUAAGUGAUUUUCACGUAAAACUUGUAUUUUUGGUAACAAAUAAAUAAUAUAAUGGCCGUCUCAGUGCUAGUUCUAAUUAGAUACAUAAUUUGUAAAAUUUUAUGUCCUAUUAUAUUUUAUAUUAUAAUAUUCCAUACAAUAUUUUGACUAUUAUAUAUUUUUCUUAUGGAAAUCUUUAUUUUUCCUAUAUAUAUAUAUAUAUAUAUAUAUAUUCUUAAGUAAAUAUAUAAUUUUUCAUAUAACUAAGAAUAUAUUUUUAUUUACUUAUGAAUCUAUAAGAUAAUUUUUGAGAAAAUAAGAACUGUUAUACAAACUAUUACCUAUAGCAUUAUUUCACUUCAGUAAAUGCAUGCCCAAAUUUCAUUAUAUCUAUAGAUUACCCAUUAAGAAUGGACGAAUAUUUUUUAUCAACUAUACAAAAUUAGUAAAUAAAAAAGUAGUUGCUAAUUUCUUGCUAAUUAAUUUUGGCCUCAUAUUUAAUCCAUCAAAAUUACACACACACACACACACACACAUAUAUAUAUAUAUAUAUAUAUACUAGGGUCGGCCCGCCCUACGGGCGGGAUAAUAGUUAAUUUGAUAUUCACUAAAUGCUCGAGUUGAAAUUUGUUUUAAGAUUCAAGAAUUUGGUUAUCUGUUAUGUGUUACUUACUAGUAUGCAGUGGUAUAGUUGUUUUUCGAUUAUUCUUGCUUUGGUAUUGUAUCAAAUUAACUAAUUGUCCAACUCAUAAUUAUAGAUGUACAAAUGUGGAUUUGUGAUAAAGUUUGAUGACAAUAUUGUGUUUUUUUUAUUCUUAUUCAUAGUGGAGUGUGCAUGUGUCAGAAAGAGGCCUAUAUGAACUUUUAUAUUUUUGCGUAUGGAUUUUAAAUAUAUAUUAUUUUGUAUAAUGCAUACUUGCUCUACAACAUUUGCUUGUAGACUAAAAAAAUUGUUUUCUAUAUUUUUAAAAGAAAAAAUAUUUAGUCUAGAAUAUAACAUGAAUAUAUGUAUUGACUAUAUAUAGAAGUUGGGUGUUAUUUUAAAAUGACAUAUGUAUAGAGGUUUUUCAACCAUUACUUCACUGGCACAAAACAUUUAUAACUGCAAAUACUUUCUUUUAAAAGCAAAACUAAUAAAAGCGUGUACAACAAAUGUAUUUUGAUAUAUAUUAUAUGCAUCAAGUUAUAAAGGUUGGAAACAUUGCAAAACUGUGUGGAGCAAAGUUUUCAACUUCACGAUAUUCAUCUUGACGUCAGUUCAGUGCCGGCCCUGGCCACAAGCAGAAGAAGCAUGGACUUCCAUCCAACACGAUAAUAAGUAGUUUCGCGGCCACAUAUUUAUAAAAAGUGACUUUAGCCUAUUGGUUCUAAGAGAAAUUAUCAGUGCUGGAGGUGCUGGAUUCAAUUAUCCCUGACAGCUUUUUGUUUUAUUUUGGCCCCAAAUAUAAAAUGAGACACUUGUCACUCCCAUAACGCACGACUUGAUGAUGUGGCAUUACAGGAGGGAGACGAACAUAUUUUUAUAUAUAUAGAUAUAUAUAUAUAUAUAUAUAUAUAUAAAUAAAUGUAAUUUAUUGGUAAUUUUAUGUGGUGAUAUAUCCUAUCAGAACUAAAAUGAAAAUUUGGAACAACUAUUUAACAUAAAUGUUUUGGAAUAUAACGAAAAUAAAAAUAAUAAAAAUUAUAUAAUUUCUAGUUUUUCGGAUCAUCUUAGUACAACGUUUUUUGUGGCAUAUAUACAUGUCCAUAUUUAAGGUUAUUGAAGAGAAAUUAGUAAAUGCUAAUUUGGUAGCUAAUCUAUUGCUAGUUGAUUUUAUCCACAUAUUAAAUCAUUCAACGUUGCGUAUAUAUGGUUGUCGCUAAAUGGUAUUUUAAGGUGAUGACAUAUCGUAACAAAAAUUAAAAUAAAUGUUUGGAAUAAAAUUUUUAAAAAAUAAAACUAACCAAUCAUUUUUAAACGGUUUUUCCGGAUAAUCCUAAAAAUAGUUUUCAAAGACCUAUAUAUAUGUAUAUGUUCACAUUUAAGGUUUUCUACAAUAAACACACAAAAUAUUUAUUUACAGUGAAGAGUUACAAUGUCAGCAUCUAAAUUUGCUAUAUUUUGUAUUGUUCUAGUGUUUCUUGCUAGUUGUCAUGAAUGCAUGUCAUAUAUUUCUUACAUUUCGUCUAAUCCCCUUUUAUCAUUAUCAUUAAAAUAAUAAUAAUAUCCUCUAUCAUCUUUUUAAUUUUUUUUAAGUUUUAAAUUUUAUACAGGUGCCGACCUCAACAGAGGACCCAAACCAACAUGCUCUAAAACACCAAAGAAUGUUUGGUGUUGCAGCAACAAUUCACACUGCCGGGAAACCAAAGCGCUAUGUGAGAAGAUUUGUUGGGUCUGCGGUUGAAUUUUUCUGAAGAGAACUUCUAUAAUUAUUUAUUCCAAAUAUUUUUUUACUUCCAUUAGUCUAAAUUCGAAUAAUAAAUAGUAAUUCUUAUUCCAAAUAAGAAUCUAGUAUUAUGAACUAAAUAAUUUGGUAUACCUUCGAAAGAGAUCGAAAUAUAUAUUGUUGCUUAUGGCUUUCUUCAAUUGUAUUUUAGAAGUUUAUAAAUGUUAUGUAAAAUUGAGAAUAAAACUAUUUUAGACUGUUUAACAGAAUUUAAAUGUUGUAACCAAUUGGCUUAUAAAAU
rnacentral:lncRNA from 1 species